CCGGGGGAAAUCCAGAUAGUUUUGGCUCUCUCUCUCUCUCUCUCUAUCACAGAUGCUCUCUCUCUCUCUCUCCCUCUCUUUCCCUCUUUGAGCUCUCUCUCUCUCUCUGACGGUGACAGUGAAACUCACCGGCGUCGUUUGACUGGGUUCGGAAACGAAGGUGGUUUGGAUCCGAUGGAGGUUUUGCUCUGAAGACGCCGGUGGUUUGGCUCCGGUAACGACGAUGGUUUGGGUCCGGUGGGGGUUUUGCCUAGAAGACGCCGGCGAUUUGGCUCCGGCUCUCUCUCAAACCACUCUAUUAGAUCUGGAGGUUUGGGUCCGUUGGGGGAUAUCGGACAGUCACUUUCCUUUUUCCAUGUGGGGAUGAAGGGCUUCCUACUUUAUUGCAGGUGGGGAUGAAGGGCGAGCAGCUGGUUUGCCUUCAAUGGAUUCUUCACGGCGGAGAAUAUCAGGACCAGCUUUAAACCUUUAAAAUUUUUUGAGGCAGAGAAGUCCAGUUGCUAUUGUCUGAGAUACUGACAGAAGUACUUAGAAGAGAGAAGACAACACAUUUUGCAGAGAUAUGGAGUAUUAAGAAGAGAGAAGCCAAAUCCUAAAGCAUUUAGAAGAAGAGAAUGCAACAUUUUUUUUUUUUAUUUUAUGUAAUACUUAUUGAGAGGGCAUAUUUUUUGUGGAAUGGAGGUCAAUUCUUGAUCCAAAUUUCAUCCAUAUACAACAUGCCCAACAACUUGCUAAUGAAUCUCUUCAUUGUGUUGUUAUUGACUUAUUGCUUGAAAUGCCAAUCUUUGUAAUCUGAUGCAGGCCAAUUCCCAUUAAUGUACGAAGUACACGUUUCAAAUUCA